CUCCCUGUACACUAUGCUGACAGUGCAUACACAGUUCAUCAUUAUGGCACAUUGCAAUUAAAGGAUCCCUUAGAACUUCAGCUACAUGGAUUCUGCAACAAAUUUUUAGUAGCUACGUGGUUGUAGCUACAGGUACAAGACCUCUCCGCACAUGUCUGGAGGUGGUACUGAGUGUGUGGCGCUCGCACACACUGAGCAGCUACAACAGAACUCUAUGGAAUUUUUUAUAUUUUAAACUGUAAUUCU